rnacentral:tRNA from 1 species
AGCUAAUAAGCUUAAUAGCAUAUGUCUUGAAAACAUAAAAUAGAAGUUAAAACCUUCUAUUAGCUU